rnacentral:rRNA from 1 species
GACGAACGCUGGCGGCGUGCUUAACACAUGCAAGUCGAACGCUGAAGCUCAGCUUUUGUUGGGUGGAUGAGUGGCGAACGGGUGAGUAACACGUGAGUAACCUGCCCCCUUCUUUGGGAUAACGCCCGGAAACGGGUGCUAAUACUGGAUAUUCACUGGUCUUCGCAUGGGGGUUGGUGGAAAGGGUUUUUCUGGUGGGGGAUGGGCUCGCGGCCUAUCAGCUUGUUGGUGGGGUGAUGGCCUACCAAGGCUUUGACGGGUAGCCGGCCUGAGAGGGUGACCGGUCACAUUGGGACUGAGAUACGGCCCAGACUCCUACGGGGGGCAGCAGUGGGGAAUAUUGCACAAUGGGCGCAAGCCUGAUGCAGCGAUGCCGCGUGAGGGAUGGAGGCCUUCGGGUUGUGAACCUCUUUCGCUCAUGGUCAAGCCGCAACAAUGGUUGUGGUGAGGGUAGUGGGUAAAGAAGCGCCGGCUAACUACGUG